CCUAUGGGAUACAAUUUGGGGCCGGUGGCUGUCUUUUUAACGCUGGUACUCUAGUAACAAAAAUGUUCCUGAGUUAUGUGACCUGCUGUAGCAAAUUAAUGGAGCCUAAGGAGGGGUCGUGAGAAUCUCCGGUUUGUAGCCAGAUGGUCAGAAGUACAGGCAGUUGGUUCACUGAAUGCAUAAGGAAAGAAUGAGAAGCUAAGAAGAAAACGAAGUAAUAAAAGGCCAAAUCUUCAAUCCCUUGGUUAUUGUCAUCUGUAAUAGCUAAACAAAAGUCAGAGAGAAUGCCGGCUCCGGCUCUGUUGCUAGCCCAAGCUCAGAUUUCAGUCUAAGCUUCAGCCCCCGGCAUCAAAGCCGCCCCCAAGGAGCUGCGUCCGUGGUCUUUGAGUGCUGCCGAGCGGAAGAGCAUGUCUGGUUUGAUCCAGGACUCGCAGCUCACUCCCCAGGUCAAGAUAAAUGCUGUGAUUAAGGGGCCCCCUUUCACGGGGCACCGCAGACAACCUUAUUGUGGCAGAACUUAAAAACAGCUCCGGAAGCCUUAUUGAAUUUGGAGUCUCAGCUUCCCCUCCCGGGUCUUACAGAUGCUAAUGAACAUUAGGGUCAUUAACAAGUGAAUGGGGGGUGAUUCCGAGGGCACAAUCCGAGGACUCUUCCCCCACCAGGUGGAAAAUUUUUUAACAGUUGUUUAGAAGUGGGGUGAAGAAAGCAAAUAAUUUAGGAGCAAAACGGGGGAGAGUCACGGGAUUUGUCCCAGCAGAGCGGAAAUCUUUAGAUGGUUAGUAAGAGAUGGGAUGAAUGAAAUAGACAUUGAGGGGGUUAAAGCAGAGGUUUUAAUACAGCACUACCGAAGGUAGCAAUACCAAAGCUAUUACCAAGGGUUGGGUGGCCAGAAGGAACCCCCACCACCACCGCAAGUGUCCCAAUAUCAAAGGGCCUCAAACAAUUCUGCUUUAUUUACCCCAGUUAGAAGCAAUUUGAAAAGUCAGGAGGUAGAGAUUCCUCUAAGAAACCCGACCAGCAAUCCCAUGGAUCAAUGGUUAGGCAAAUUAAUCAAGUUAAAAGUUGACAAAAGCCCUGGGGCUGGCUUGGUCACUGGAGCCUGCGACUGAAUCUGGGGUUUGUGAGCGCAAGCCCCACGUUGGGCUUAGAGAUUAAUGAAAAAAUAACAUCUAAAAAAAAAAAAAAAGUUGACAAAAGGACCAGAGCCCCGUGCCUGGGUCCGUCUCUGAGGAGCCAAAGGCCUUUAGCAUCAGAGUAGAAAAAAUGGUAGGGGGAUGGAGAAGUUUCUAGGACUCCUUGAAACAGAAGCCUUACAGAUACAGAGCUGUAGUACCAAAAUCUGCCGAUGAAGUCUUAAUGGAGGCUACAGUUAGAAAUGCAAGCGAAGGGGAGCGUGCUUUUCCACCCCAAAAUAUGCUUCUUUGGCAUGGGGAUUAUUUUAAACUGCUUACUUUCAAGAAAUAGCAGACACAGGUGAAACUCUGAAAAUUGAAUAGAGGUUACAUUUGGUAAGAGACAUUUACAUGUAUAAGAGAAAUAUCCAUUUGCAAAAGAGUCUUUGUUACCUUACCAGGAAGAGGGUUAUGACUCAAUCUCUAGAAAUUCUUUUUUUUUUUAAGAUUUUAUUUAUUUAUUUGACAGAGAGGUAACAAAAGCAGGGGGAGAGGAAGGGGAGAAGCAGGCUUUCCGCUGAGCAGGGUGCCCCUCAAUCUCUAGAAAUUCUUAUCCACAGAGAAGACGGUGACUUAACUGUGCAUAAGAACCCUAUGCCAGGGGCGCCUAGGUGCCUCAGAGGGUUAAGCCUCUGCCUUCAGCUCAGACAUGAUCUCAGGGUCCCA